rnacentral:rRNA from 1 species
AUUGAACGCUGGCGGCGUGCUUAACACAUGCAAGUCGAUCGGUAACGCGGGGGCAACCCUGGCGACGAGAGGCGGACGGGUGAGGAACGCUUGGGAAUCUGCCUAUCAGCGGGGGACAACACGGGGAAACUCGUGCUAAUACCGCAUACGCUCUACGGAGGAAAGCCGGGGACCGCAAGGCCUGGCACUGAUAGAUGAGCCCAAGUCGGAUUAGCUAGUUGGCGGGGUAACGGCCCACCAAGGCGACGAUCCGUAGCUGGUCUGAGAGGACGAUCAGCCACACUUGAGCGGAGACACGUUCCAGACUCCUACGAGAGGAAGCAGUGAGGAAUAUUGGGCAAUGGGGGAAACCCUGAUCCAGCGACGCCGCGUGGGUGAAGAAGGCCUGCGGGUUGUAAAGCCCUUUCGGUAGGUACGGAAGCUCUCGACCUAGCACGUCGUGAGGUUGACUUAACCUACAAAAGAAGCACCGGCUAACUCUGUGCCAGCAGCUGCGGUAAUAC